AUGGUUACGCUUUUCUAUCAGCUGAAUUCCCAUUUAUUUACCAUUUUGACAAAAAUAUAUAAUUUAUUUGUUUACAUAAAUCAGCUGUCAUUCUUACUGCCUGCCUUUUAAUGUUUUGGAUGCCAAAUGUCAAUAAAGGUGAAACGCAAGGAACUUAAGUGCAAAGAUAAAAAUUAAAAUUAAAUGGAAGUAAAUUUUCAAUUAAAAAAUUUCGUGAAACCGGCUGUUAAUGUUUUACUUCUGGAUGACGACGGCUAUUGGAAAAUUAUGGAUGAUGUAAAUGCAAAUUUUUAAUUAUUUUAUCAAACCAUCGCGAAAAUUAUUAAAAUGUUCCCAAAUGUUUGGAAUGGCGAUCUACUGUCCUUGUCAAGUUAGAGGACGUUUUCAACAGUUGCUCCGAGUAUAAAUUUGCAUUUGUAUUGUCUCUGAUCAAAGAUAGUGCCCAGUUCAACAACACUCUAUCCGUCAGGCAAUAUUCGAAAGAUUUCCAGAUAGUUAUAAUUUUAUAUCCAUUGGGUUCAUCUGGUGAAAAUGCUGCAAUUCAAAAAGUAGCUACGCUAUUUGGUGUAGGAGAUGGAGAAACGCUUUACAAAAUAACAAAGCGAGUAUUUUCGGCUCUUUUGGAAUUGAAAUCUAAAUAUAUCACUUGGGCUGAUGCAAAUAAAAAGCAAGAAAUUGUAAAAACAACGUACAUUGAAAUGCCUUAUUGUAUAGGAUACAGAACUGAAACUUGCUGAAAUACCCGUUAUUAAUCAUGCGGCUUAAUGUACAUGACGCUCGCAUGUUCCGUACUAGUGCUCUCUCCAAUCAGGAAGAUUCAUAUUUUUCAUCCUAUCAAUGGGUGGCAGGGGAAUCUGCUUAUCCAUUACUGACCACCCUUCUCACACCAUAUUGAGCGAUUUCGCAACAGUUGGACUAUUCAAAGCGUAAAUUUUAUUUAUUUAUUUAUUUACAAGAGAAGUAAUUAUAAAUAAUAACUCCACUAAAUUUAAAGCACUGGCUACAGAGGCCUUCGGCUCUUAUAUUACGUUGUUAUACUAACUUGCUUACAAUUAAAUUAAAUUGGAUAUAUUACAUA